rfam:Parcubacteria bacterium GW2011_GWC2_44_22 TW45_C0026, whole genome shotgun sequence.
GCCGUUGUAGCUCAGUUGGUAGAGCACAUCCAUGGUAAGGAUGGGGUCCGCGGUUCGAUCCCGCGCAACGGCU